UUAACAAAAAAAAUCAUUUUAAAAAGUAAUUGAAAACUAAAACCAAUACUGUUUAUGACAAGAUUAAAUCAAUUAUUUUCCUUAUAUCAAAGUCAAGUCAAGUUAAAUUCUUAAAAUAUUCAAAAUCUUUUCCAAGUAUCGAAAUAUUAUACUCAAAACCAAUAUAAUUAUCUUCCAAUUAAAUAUUAGAAAUGUAUGUGAUCACAAAAAAGGCUCAAGUGCCAAAAAUGUCACACUUAAUCCUUUGAUUUAGUGUUUUAAAUUACUGUGGCCUUAAUUUAGUUAUAAUUACAUUAUUUUUAAAUUUUCCAAAGAAAAGAAAACAUUGAAGAAAAAUCACCACUUAAUUCUUUCCGUGUUGCCUUAAUGCCUUCAAAAUACUCAACUCACGAUAUUAUCAAAAAAAAAGAAAAACAUUUUCAAAAACAAGAAGAAAUAAAAACGUAUACAUAAAUCAUCUUAUAAAAUCAUUAAAAGCACAUGCCAUUACCAUUUAACCUGCCGCCUCUUAACUCUUUCUAAUUCUCAAUCUAACAGCAAUUUGUCUCCAAAAAAGAAAUACAAGUUUAAAAUACCGAAAUAUAAGUCGGCAUGAAAUACAAAAAAUACAAAAUUGUAUAUUGCAUGGUAACACAACAUUUUAAUUUAAAAACUCUUUCAUUCGGGAAGUACGGCUAUAGGUAGGUUCAUAUUAUAUAGAGCGAGAAUUUUUGUCCUUGAUGUAUUUUAUUUUAAAACGAAUUCUAUACACCCAAGAGCAAAAUGAGUUUAACUCAAAAAAAAUUAAAAAAUAAAACAAAACAAAAAUAAAAUAAAGAAAAUUACACUAAAUUGGCUUCAAUUAUUGUAUUAAAUUUUUGGGUUGGUUAUAGUUUCGGCAUUUUUUUCUUUUUCUUGUACGAGUAUAUAAUUUUCAGGGUAGGACUGUAAGCGCCAUUUCGUGUGCGCCUUCUUAUUCUCUUAUCCUAUUAACGCCCUCUUGGAUUUAGUGUUUUUGUAUAUUUUGAAAAAAAAAUUGGAAAAAUAAGGAACAACAUGAAAUCGAAUAAGAAUUGAACACGAGAUUUGAUUUUUUAGAGACAUCAAACUAUUUUUCUCGAGAAGAUUUUUAGCUCAGAAAAAUUCUAAAAAUUUUCAAAAAAAUUCAAAAAAUCUUAAAACUUAAAUAAAAAAUAAAAAUCUUUACCUAUUUCACUCUUUUUUAAGAAUUUUUCUUAGGUUGAUUUUUUGUUUUAUCCUAUUUUUGUGUUGCAUAUUUUUAGGAAGAAUAUCUUUAUCAAUAUUUUUCACUCUCACUGUGUCAAUAUUUUUAAUAUUUUUUUUUUAUUAAUCACAUUUAUUUAUUUAUGAUUUUUUGUUACAUAAACAAAAUUAUAUUAUUUUUCAAUCCACAAAAAUUUUCACUUAAGUUUAUUUUUUUUUGUUUAAAAAAAUUGCAUAGUUUUGUCAUUUUGUGUAAAUUUUUUAACGCGUUAAUUUUGCUAGAUUUCAUUUUUUUUAAAUGACGGAUAUUCAAUCUUGUAAAACCCGCCGCACAGAACGAGCAUUUAAAAGCGAAUGCGAUCUUAGCUAAAAUAACUCUUCAAACAGAGCCUCACGACUUGACUUAAUCUCAAAAGCAUUUUCUUCAAUCGUAUACCACUUCGUUUAAAGUUAUGGUUUUUGUUUGUGUUUUAAGUAAGUUUUAUUAAACAAAGUACAAAGUAUCUAAAGUGGAAAUAUUCACCACCACCACAUCACACUUUAUUUCCGCCAUGCAAAAAAUUAUAGUAUUGCAAAAUUAUUAACAAAAUUAAAAAUAAAAAUAUUUAUACACCAGCAGCAGUCGUAGUGAAUGCGAAAGAUACAAAGGAAGUAGGAAAAGAUAUGGUUCGUAUCUUUCAGAUACACUUUUACACACUGAGUAUAUGAGAGUACUAUUUUUUUAUAUAGUUUGGAUUGGAUUGGAUUAGAUUGAACGACGAGACGACGACGAAGUUUGAUGCUCGCCGUCGCUGAUGCCGCUGCCGUAUAAGUUAAGAGUACUUGCUGCUGAUGUUUUGUAGUUGUUGCUGCUGCCGCGACGGCAGUUGCGAUUCUGGCUUUAGAUGAAUUUUUGCACGAACCGUGAACCCAAAAUGAGGUUGUUUUCAGACCAAAAUCCAUACAACAACAACAAAAAGUGGCAGCAACAGCAGCAAAUACACCUUUUUGCAUGCGGAUCCACAUCCACAUCCACUUUGUACAAAGUUAAUAUUACACUCUCCAUGUACACUCUCCCGGUCGGUCGGUCUUUCGAUCCGAUCCGUCCAAGUCCGAGACUGAGUCGUUCAGUCUUUCGGUGGUGAAGGUAGGUAGGUAAGGUUAGGUACGACUAUAUCUGGAAGGAGAUGAUGAUGAUGUAGAUGGGACGGUAGUGGGGGUGGUGAUGGUGGUGGAUGUCGAUGUGGUGUCGGUAGUGUGGUGUUGUGUGGUUUGCUUGGGGUAGAUAAAUAUAUUUCCACCAAAAAAACAACACCAAAAGCGAAACGUUCAAAAAUUCAGCGCGAUUUCCUACACACAACCGUCAUCCACGUCACUGUGCGGCGUAUUGAAACUUUGAUGGCAAGUUGAUGGACAUUGAAUCUUAAACUAUGUCUCGUGAUCCUUCUCCUCCCAUAUUUAUUCAACCUUAUGUGUGGUAAGCCAGUCAGUGCCACAGCCAGUGCCAGUUGUUUGACGGAGGGAGCCAAAGACGAAACAUAAAGAAGAAAACGAGAAACACAUCACUAAGAACAACAACAAAAUGGAAAAAAAUGCAACGCCCCGCUACUGCCGAUGCCGAAUGAGGUGGCAAAAUUAUUAUAUUCACCACUCUCGUUAAAAAGUGUAUCUGCGCCUUAAAACAAAUGGCUCCCCUUUUUUUCGAUGCAUCAAUGGAGGGGGUUGGGGCGAGGAGUAAGAAGUCGAUUGCAAUUUUUACCACUUGAAAAGCAAGGGCGGUGGGGUAGCAGGGGUGUUUUUGGGGAAAAUUGUACACUGCACAAAUACCGACAAAGGCAAAAAUGGAAAUCAACAAAGCGGAACACCGUUAAUGUGCGAGUGAGUAAGUUCAGUUCAGUUUUAAGGGAAAAAUGAAAAUUCACCCGAGCGGAAUUUUGUAUGAAUGCAUUUCCCCCCUUAAUAAAAAUUCAACAACACCAACAAAAAAAGGGGAAUUUGUUUUUGACUGAAUGGAAACUCACCAUUACACGUAUUCGCAAAGUAAAAAAAGGGUUGAAUGCAGCCAACAACCCUUUUUGUUGUUUUAAAACAAAUUUAUUAUUAAUUACAAAAAUAACUGCAUCCAUUUCAUACAAGUGAAUCGAAAAACCGGUUUUUGAAAUCGUAACUUUUUGUUUAAAGGGGUAGUUUGGUAGGUGCACUCUGGACUCCUGGAUUCUCUAAAUAGAAGACUCACCUGUGUUCGAAAAGUGGGGAUUUCUAUAGAAUUUUUCUGCGCAAAUGUCACCACGCAUUCUUAUCACCUUAUGUGUGCCCCUUUCCUUCUCACCUCACAACAACCCCCUUAAAAGUAUAUUUCUAAACGGAAUCGGCUUCGGCGUUCAACGUUCAGCGUUAAGUAUUCGAAGUUCGACGGCAUAUCAAAUGGAAAAAUGAUUUUCAUGUUUUCAUGAAUGUCGUUCUCUUUACCUGGGUGGAAGCAAAAAGAAAAAGAAAAACAAACAAACAAUAAAAGGAAAAAAGAAAAAAGGAAAGGAGGGCAGCAACAACAAGAAAAACGAAAAAAGAAAAA